GGAAACAAAAAGAUAAUCAAGUCACACAAGGUGUCCCACAAAUAGCUUUGCCCUUUUUAAAAUAUCCUGACAGGUUUCCUAAAUAAUUUGCAUCCGGAACAAAGAAAACAGAUUCUAGAUUAUCAGGUCGAAGCAAAGGAUGGAAGUAAAGAUGCAAAAAUGAAAGCAACUAAGGGAAGAAAGGAAGAACACAAAUGCCAGGAAAUUAUAGUCUAUAUACAUAAAGGCGAUGCCAGUUGUUUACGGAAGUGACGUCACGAAUCAUGUGAUUUUUCUCACCGGUAGGCAAAAAGCAACAAUGGCGAGUAACAACAAAGCAAAUUACUGUAGCGUGAAAUCCCAACAAUACUCCGAUUAUGUACGAAAGCUACCGUUUGAAGUCCGGUAUCUGAAGGCGGUACUUUGAGAAGCUGGGAUAUCGUGACGGUACACGUAUCUUGCCGGAUUCUUACAAUUUGAAGAAUGGAUGGGUCGACGAUCCGACUUUGUGGCCGGACGUUACUUUCGCCGAUUAUAUAUUUUUACCUCGUCGAUACGCCCGGACAGUUCACUCACGAUAGACUGAAGGCAUACAAGUCCCUCAAAGCUUAUGAAUAUGUAGAAAGUGGACACGUGCAUCCCGUGUUUUAUUACAACGUAGAGCAGUCGUCGUAUUUUUUUUUUUUUUUUUUUUUUUUGAAGACAAAGGUCAUCCCUUCACAGCGACUUCGGGACAAACCUCAUCAACCAUGGACGUGCUGAAGCAAAUCUGAGGGGACACUGUAUACAGGUAUGGCAGGGAAAGUCUAGGUGAGGCAUGCAGGCAUUUUGCAGACCUCCUGUUCAAGGUUGAUGCAGCUGUCCGUGCUGGACUAACAUCAACAGCAUGCACAAGUGCGGCUUGCAAGUGGAAUGCAUCAUACAGAAAAGAGGUUCAACAUCGCAUUGCUUUUGGCACCUUUUCCACUGGAUUAUGCUGGGCUUUUUUGAGGAUGGAGUUGAUGUUCGUCUCCCACCUCAGGUCCUUUGAGACUGUAAUUCCCAAGAACUUGAAGGCCUCGACAGUUGCCACGAGACAGUUGGACAGCGUGGUGAAGGCUGCCUCCUGAAGUCCACAAUCAUCUCUACAGUCUUUAGAGGGUUCAACGGCAGGUUGUGUUGACCACACCAAAGCUCCAGUCUCGCCACUUCCUGUCGAUAUGCAGACUCGUCGCUGUCAUUGAUGAGGCCGAUGACCGUGGUGCCAUCUGCGAAUUUCAAGAGUUUGACAGUCGGAUGCCACGAGGUGCAGUCGUUAGUGUAGAGCGAGAAGAGUCGAGGUGAGAGGACGCAACCUUGGGGUGCUCCGGUGCUGAUGGUGCGUGUGGAUGAGGCGGUGUCCCCCAGCCUCACCUGUUGUGUCCUCCCCGUUGGGAAGUUCUCGAUCCACCGGGAAAGGGCAGGCGAGGCGCCGAGCUGGAGAGGUUCGGAGGACAGGCGUUCAGGGAUGACGGUGUUGAAGGCAGAGCUGAAGUCCACAAACAGGAUCCUCGCAUCGGUACCCUUGUUGCCGAGAUGUUCAAGGGUGAAGUGCAGACUCAUCCGCAGACCUGUUAGCUCCAUAGGCAAACUGCAGUGGGUCCAAUUUGGGACCUGUGACGCUCUUGAGGUGGUCCAGCACAAGGCGUUCAUGACCACAGAUGUCGUACCAGGGCGGCACCGACUGCUGGAGAGAAAUUCCUCGUGUGUUUUUACACACUUGGCCAUUAAAUCUGAUUCUGAUUCUGAUAUGGGCCGAACUAGACAAUCUUCUCUCGGCCAGUCGGCGGACAGAUCAAUCAUCUCUUUCCUUGUGUCAGCGGGAAUAGCGAGUACACUAAAUUGUUGGAUUCAAAGCCAUUUGUGUUUCUUGUUAAAAAUCUCGUGUCUUGUAAUUUGAGCACGCAGGAUCUGAUUUAUUGAUUAUAUACACAAAUCUUCAAGCGCUGUAUUAUUUUCCCCUUUUAAUUUCGGUACUUUGGAUGCGUUCGUCAGUGCCGAGGUCCCCCCACAAAAAUUCCCACAAGUUCUCCGGCCCCGGCCCAACUGUUGUAGGAGCAUUUCCAUGAAAUAUCUCUGCUGAAAUUUUUCCGUUUUUCCGUCCUUGCGCCUGCGGUUCGGGGAAAUUAAUCCCGCGACACCGUCGAAACGGCGCUGGUCUUUCUGACGGCUUUAUCCGUCGGCGUCGGCGCGCCACACGCGCUCUGCCAAGCGCAACACCGAAAGCGAACCAGCCGUGAAAACCGGCGGCCCUUACGGGAGUCGAACCGCUCGUUAUUUAUCCUUUUUGCUAAUCGUUUGCCUUGUCCGCUCAUGUUUCACUGAUGCUUAAUUUGCUGGGCCUGCUCGUGUUUUUAUUGAGUCGGCGGUGAGCUCAUCGAGCGAAUGAGAUCAGGAAUAAAUGCUCGUCUCGCUGUUAUGUUAUGCCUCAUCCAGAAUGCACGCGCGUGUCCACAAACACACUUUUCUUCCAACUCGCCUCGGGUUGCUGCACUAGUACGUCUGCUUCCUUUUGUUGCCAAAAUCAUCAGCAGAUAUACACCACCACCAACCCCCCCCCCUCUUCCUCCCCCCACACAACCCCCUUCCUCAAUAUGAUGUGUUUCCUUUUUUGUGUGUGUUUUGAUCCCUCUCUUGUGGCCCGGCUGCGCUUGUGGCGAGGCUUGGGGUUCGAGUGGCGCUCCCGUAUUAUUCUUGGCAGCAGCGGUGGUUGGUGGCUGUUUGAGGGGCGAGGAGAGACAGGAGGUGGGAGGUGUGCGGUGGGCAGGGGGGGAGCACGAACCCCCAAAAACCAAGGCUGUUUAAGGGAUUUGCGUCUGAAAGAAUUGCUUUGUUAAUGAUCACGAUCGCACCGGGGAUGUGCGCACACACGUACGCCAGCGCCGUGCCUGUACGUGCACAUUUUCUUUUUGCGAAUUCACCAGUUGGCAGAUGCGUUGGGGAUCCCAUCCUUCGUUAUUUGCGAACAAAAACUUUGAAAACUAUUUGUUCAAGCAAAAACCGUGUUGCCAUCUUGAGGUGGUUCCAAGGCUUGUUUUUUAAGAUGGCUAGUUUAGCUUAGUUUUGUGCAUUGUGCACCGUGGGGUGAGGGUGCAGGACAGCACAAGGACCAAGUUGUCACGAACCAACGGUGGAACGGGCGGACCCAAAUGCAGGACUCCAAGACGAGGAUAUGAUGUUCAGUGGGUUUUAUUAUAAAGUUGUGCACAACACAGUCCAAGAAGGCAGGAUCCAAAACACAAGAAACAAUGUCCGAUAACUAUGAGUCAACUGUACUGGGCUAUAAUGGCACAGUGGCGGAGUAACCCUUGAUGCAGGCAAAAACCAGUGACAAAACUCCAACUUAAAAACACUGUCUAAUCACAGUGACACAGAUGUGACCGGCGACAGGUGUCAGAGAUGAAACCGCUCGGAACGGUGGCCAGGCCGUGCCCCUCUUGGCCGUGGUCCAGCCUUGCUCAUGACACAAGUGUGGUAUUUGGCCUCGGUUCAGAAGAAACUGAACAAGAGUCGCCUGGUGUGGACAUAAAAUAGGCUGCAGCUCGGCAAUAUGUGUAGUUUACAAUACAGAGGACCAGGAGGUGGAUGAGAAAAGCAGCAACUAAAAGAAGGGUAGAGUUUCAUCAGAUUUUACUGGCACAGCAGGAUCUGGGGGGGAUAUAGACUCAAUUGUGAGCUCCAGUUCUACGAAAACCGCUUUGAGGUGUACGUCAGACUUAGCAGGAAGCAGUUUCGUUUUCACCACGUCACAGUGCGGUCUCGCGUCCCAGGCCGGGUUACUCUGCCGAAAAUCUCUUGCUGUUUUCCCUCCGAAGUUACUCCGUCCCCGUUGCUCCCAUCAAAUGGUCCGAGAUGUCAUCACAGUGCGGUGUGCCGGAAUUUUUCACUUCGCAGCACCGCCAAGCUCGACAGCAGGCCGUUGUGCCCUUUGUGCCGCCGCGGCACAAAGGGCACAAUGAAUGGCUUAGUUGACGGCAUGCUGUGCUGUGCUGAGUGCAGUGUGAAAGGGUCCGCCGUAUGCCACGGACGGGCAAUCGCAAAACCUUUGAGGAGGUGUGGGGGCGUCGAUGACUCACAGAUUUUUACUAUUGGCGGCGGCGGUCAGUUCCGGUUCACUGUACCAUUGAAGGCGGAUUAUUUGGUGUAAAACUGGGUCUUGAUUCCACAUCUGAGUCGUGAUUCCGUGUCUGGAUCCUUUGUACAGAACAGCUACGUGGAAAAAAACAAAACGGAAAAACGUCGGUUUCAGCAGGUUGCGUGCCAGGGAAUAUAUUGUCGAACGAGACGCAGUGCCUGCUGAGGCAACACGCAGUGUCAGACAUGUCACUCCUCCCUCCCUCCCUCCCCCGUUUGAAAAUGAUUUUCUCAAAUUCUGUUCUUGGCCGCGGAUCAGGAGAACGUUAUUACCCAACGUUAUUUAUUUUUAUAUUGCCGCGCGGCAAUGUGCGCGAGCGUUUGUGUCUUUUCGUGCCGCUGAGUGGCAGGUAAUCGUGUGUGAGUGUGCGCGCGUAAGCCACAAAAUGUAUUUCAAUUUCUCGUGAAUAUUAAAUAAACAUCGCGAAGCGCACGGGCCGCCAGUGGCUUGAGGGGUUGGAGGGGCCGGUGGCAGCGCUCGGCGGUGGAAAGGGGGACGGUGGGGGGGGUGGGGUUGCGGCCGAGGCUCAGGGGGGUUGAGGCUGCUCAUGGUCCGGGCCCCCGCCGGACACACUGGCGCCUCCUCGCGCUGGAGGACUUCAGAACCACCACACUCCUCUCCACCAAAGCCCUGCCAAGCCCCGGCUCCCCCGCUUCCAACCGCGCUGCUCCCGUUCCAGAUUUGGACUUUUUUUUUUUUUUCCCUCUUUUCUUCUAAUUGCUCCAAACCGCCAUUCUGUUGUCUUUAAGUUAGUUUAUUUGUGGAUUUUUUUUCAUCGAUAAUGUGUAGAAAAACAAUAAACCCGAGGGGAGAGAUGCGGUAGAGGCGGUGCGUGCAGUUCCUGUGGCCAUUAGCAAAGAAAAUGGGAAAAAGGAGUAAAAAAAAAAAAAGUUAGAUUGAAAAAUAUGAUGCACGUAUAGUGAUAUAAUAAGUGGACGCACCCGUUUAAAAUCAAGAAUUUGUGAUGUGACCAAGUUUGAACAUUUAAAAAUUUUUACCUGCUAUUAUUGUCACCUAUAACCUCAUACAACUCAAUAUUUGUCAGCUAGUGACAGACAAUGUUUUUGCACAAGUGUGCACACCCUCUUGUAACCGGGAUGUGCGGAUAUUCAGAAUGAACCAGUCACACUCGAACUAUUAAACGGUGGUGAAGACGCACUUGCUGCAGUUUGAAGUGCCUCUGAUUAUCCUCAAAUACAGUUCAGAUGUUCUACUUGACUUUUCCUGGCACUGUUUUUUUUUUUUUUUUUUUGCUCUUCAGCUGAAAUCUGAAGGUUUCGUGCUCACGUCGACUGCUAUUUGGAACUGUUCAUAAUUCCCUCUUCCUUGACCAAGGCUUUUUUUUCCCCCCUCCAAUUGUCUUGUACAGGUAAUUAGUUUUUAAGUGGUUUAACUUGGUCUCAUUUUUUUGUACAUCACAAAAUCCUGGCAUUUGAGCAGAAUUUUUAAAUCCACACACGAUGCAAUUCUCUACUUUUUUGGGGGGGUUUGUAUUUCUUCAUACAUCAGCCCUCCUCCUCUUAAAAAUGCUCUCUUGAAAUGUUCCACGGAAGUAUUUUGCGGCUUGAGCGUAAGAAAGAAAACAAGAGCCCGUUUCGGGCCGCACGUCACUCAGAAAUCCAGUCAAGAUAGUACAAGUUUUUUUUUUUUUUUUUUUUUUUUGUGAGGGAAAGAACAUUUUAUGGCCGUGCCGUAAGGAUAUGAAGUCAGAACUGGCCAGAAUUCUUCCAAAGUGUUUUUCCAACCAUGAGGGUUCCUUAAACUGAGUGAAGAGAAGAGAGGGGAGUUUCUAAAAUGAAUACAGUAUACGUUAUGAAUGGAGAUAAAUAAAGAAAUGAUGAACUAAUGCAAGACGUUUGGGGAAAUGUACUGCGGUUAUCGUUACACAAUGCGAUAUUGUAACUUCUCAUAGAGCGACGCCUCCAUACUAGCGACGUCCAGAUCCAACUUUUUCCACUUCCGAUCCAAUACCGAUACGGCAGCCCCAAGUUUUGACCGACACCGAUAUUGAUCUGAUUUCAAUAAUAUUCAUGCAUACUUUUGUCAUAUGAAAUGUUAGAAAAGGCUUGAUUAAGUGAUAUUACUUAAACAGAGCAAUAAUCAGCAAGAUUAGGUAUAUACCUAGUCUACCUAGGUAAAUACCUACUCUAUACCUAGUACACCUUGGUAUUUACCUAGUCUUGCUGAUUAUAUGAGAUAAUUUUUUAUUUUUUAUGAACAAAUGAGUUACAUAAAGUAUCUGCUGUGCGCGUCUUGAUUUCUGAGCGGCAGUGUAGUACACUCAAUCAGACACGCACGCAAUAACAAGGUAGAAAAAGUAAGUUUGGAAAAAUGGCUUUUGUUAAAGUUGUCUCUUUGUAAGUGUUUAUACUACAUUUUUGUAUAAAUAGUCAUUUUUUUGCCAGAUAGAAUUACCGCCCGUUCGACGCUCGCCUUUGUUAGCUCGUCAAUGGUGUUUUUCCUUUCAUUUUGUUAGCUUUGAGCUAGCAAUUUUCUGCAAACAAAAACAAAGAAAGCAACUAAGUCUCUAACGUAUUUGAACAUUUAAUCGGUAUAACGUUGUUUUUUUUUCAUGUGUCCAGUUGUACAGUGAACUUUGACCGGAUUGUCAUUAAACGACCUCAAAAAACGUUUAUAUAAAGCAAUAGCAAAAAAUCAAUUUAACACUUUGUAUUGAUCAAUGUGACUUACAGCAUGAAAAUAGGAUAGACUACUUCUUCUUCUUCUUCUUUAUUCUACAUACCCAGGAUAUACUUCAUCCAUCCAUUAUCUGAGCCGCUUAUCCUCAUAUUCUAUUAUUGCAAACAUUUUUUGACAUUUAUGGUAUCUAAAGUACUGCAAUAAUACAACAUCUGUAACAUCUGCAUAUCAAACUAUGUAUCACAAUCUUAAAUAAACAUAUAAAUGUAAAGAUAAAUGCACAUGUACGAUAAAAAAAAUUACACCAUCCUUUUUUUUCUCAAAUAAAGAACUUAAAACAGCAUUCAAACGAAUAUAUGGCGUCAUAUUUGUUUUAGCAGAUGUUUUGGAAAUACAGAUGGAUAAUAUGCUUCUGUCAGCGUUAAUCAAAUUAUGGAUGUUCAACAUGGAUAUAUGUCUCCUGUCGUGUCACACGUGGCUACUUCCUCCACUUCAUUUUUACUCCCUGGAAGUAAUUUGUCAUCCGGAGGCCAUUAAAUGGGGAGCGCAUUAUCUUUUAAAGGGUCGCAACGUCACCCGCAAGCCUCCCACAGGCUCUUAUAAACAAAAAUGGCCUCGUUUGGUGUCGCGUUUGGUGCGCUGGCCAGCGAGGGAGUCUUUCCCUUUUAAACUUGAAAGGCGGCUCGAGUGAGAGAAAAAAGAAAAAAAAAAAAGCGGUUACAUGUGUAUGAUUAGUGUCGAAAAUAUGAGCAGCACUUUAAUGAUUGAUGCCGCACGCCCACAUUAAGCUUUAUAUGUAUAAUAAUUUGUAUGUAGGUAUAAAAAGAGGACUGUUUUUUUGUUAGUGUUUUCUGACGUUUUUUUUUUUUCUCUUUUUUGGGAGUAAGCAUGGGAAUCGUACUUACUCACAAUCAGCGAUUAUUUUCCAGCUGCCCCAACUGCUCACCAUAUGACAGUGUUGCAUUUUUUUCAUUUUCAUUUUAACUUUUUUUCUUUUGCGAGGCGGCAUGGUAGAUAAGGUGGUAAAGCGUUGGCCUUACAGUUCUGAGGUCCCGGGUUCAAUCCCGAGCCCGCCUGUGUGGAGUUUGCAUGUUCUCCCCGUGCCUGCGUGGCUUUUCUCCGGGUGGGCGCUCCGUUUUCCUCCCACAUCCCCAAAACAUGCAACAUUAAUUGGACACUCUAAAUUGCCCCUUGGUUUGAUUGUGGGUGCGGCUGUUUGUCUUGUUGUGCCCUACGAUUGGCUGGCAACCAGUUCAGGGUGUAGCCCGCCUCCUGCCCGUUGACAGCUAGGAUAGGCUCCAGCAGUCUCCGCGAUCCUCAUGAGGAUAAGCGGCAAAGAAAAAUGAUGUAUAUA